AUUGAAUAAAUGCUUUAUGGUGCUUUGCAGCAUGCUGCAAGCUUAAAAGGGAAGCCGGUUGAAUUCCGGCGCGGUCCCGCCACUGUAAUGCGGAGGCUCCUCCCUCGAUGCCACUGUUCCUUAGCGGACGGGAAGGCGGAAGGAGUCUGUGAUGCUGAGCCAGGAGACCUGCCAUAAAGAAGUACACAAC
rnacentral:ncRNA from 2 species